rnacentral:lncRNA from 1 species
AAACAUGCUCAAGUAAAGAAGCCUGCUAACACCCACCAAACCAAGAUGGCCAUGAGAGUGACCCACCUCGUCCUCAUUGCUACAUUCCCUCCAGUGCCUUGACAAUUUACAAAUGCCACGGUAAUGUCAGGAAGUUACCCUAUAUGGUCUAAAAAGGGGAGGCAUGAAUAAUCUGUCAGGCCUCUGAGCCCAAGCUAAGCCAUCAUAUCCCCUGUGACCUGCAUGUAUACAUCCAGAUGGCCUGAAGCAACUGAAGAUCCACAAAAGAACUGAAAACAGCCUUAACUGAUGACAUUCCACCAUUGUGAUUUGUUCCUGCCCCACCCUAAGUGAUAGGCUAUGUUCUCCCCCGCCCUUAAGAAGGUACUUUGUAAUAUUCUCCCCCGCCCUUAAGAAUGUACUUUGUACACCUAUCCCAAACGUAUAAAAACUAAUGAUAAUCCCACCAACCUUUGCUGACUCCUUUCUCGGACUCAGCCCACCUGCACCCAGGUGAAAUAAACAGCCCUGUUGCUCACACAAAGCCUGUUGGUGGUCUCUUCACAAGGAUGCGUGUGACAUUUGGUGCCAAAACCCAGGACAGGAGGACUCCUUCAGGAGACCAGUCCCCUGUCUUCGCCCUCACUCCGUGACCUCAGGUCCUCAGACCAACCAGCCCAAGGAACAUCUCACCAACUUCAAAUUGGGUAAGCAGUCUUUUCACUCUUCUCAUGCCUCUCUUGCUACCCUUCAAUCUUCCUCUCUUGCUACCCUUCAAUCUCCCUGUCCUUCCAAUUCCAAUUCUUUUUCCUCUCUAGUAGAGACAAGGAGACGGCCAGGUGCGGUGGCUCACGCCUGCAAUCCCAGCUCUCAGGGAGGCUAAGAGGCGGGAGGAUAGCUUGAGCCCAGGAGUUCGAGACCUGCCUGGGCAAUAUAGCGAGACCCCGUUCUCCAGAAAAAGGAAAAAAAAAAAAAAAGAGACAAGGAGACACAUUUUAUCCGUGGACCCAAAACUCUGGCGCCAGUCACGGACUCGGGAAGAUAGUCUUCCCUUGGUGUUUAAUCACUGCGGAGAUGCCUGCCUGAUUAUUCACCCACCCUCCACUGGUGUCUGAUCACUGCGGGGACACCUGCCUUAGUCAUUCACCCACAUUCCCUUGGUGGCAAGUCAAUUGCAGGGAUGCCUGCUUUGGCUGCUCACCCACAUUGCAGCCCAGGGCUGCUCACCCACCCACUUCUCCAUGUCUCUACCUUUCUCUUUAAACUUACCUCCUUCACUAUGGGCAACCUUCCACUCGCCAUUCUCCCUUCUUCUCCUUUAGCCUGUGUUCUCAAAAACUUAAAACCUCUUCAACUCACACCUGACCUAAAACCUAAGCGUCUUAUUUUCUUCUACAACACCGCUUGGCCCCAAUACAAACUUGACAAUGAUUCCAAAUAGCCAGAAAAUGACACUUUCGAUUUCUCCAUCCUACAAGAUCUAGAUAAUUCUUGUCAUAAAAUGGGCAAAUGGUCUGAGGUGCCUGACGUCCAGGCAUUCUUUUACACAUCGGUCCCUUCCUAAUCUCUGUUCCCAAUGAGAUUCAUCCCAAAGCUUUCUUCUUUCUCUCCUGUCUGUUCCUUCAGUCUCCACCCCAAGCUCUGAAUCCUGGGAAUCCUCCUUUUCUACAGACCCAUCUGACCUCUACCCUCCUCCCCAGGCUGCUCCUUGCCAGGCCGAGCCAGCUCCCAACUCUUCUUCAACCUCUGCUCCCCCACCCUAUAACCCUUCUAUUACCUCCCCUCCUCACACCCGGUCUGGCUUACAGUUUCAUUCCGUGACCAGCCCUCCCCCACCUGCCCAACAAUUUCCUCUCAGAGAGGUGGCUGGAGCUGAAGGCAUAGCCAAGGUUAAUCCUCCUUUUUCUUUAUCCAACCUCUCCCAAAUCAGUUAGCGUUUAGGCUCUUUUUCAUCAAAUAUGAAAACCCAGCCCAGUCCAUGGCCCGUUUGGCAACAACCCUUAGAUGCUUUACCGCCCUAGACCCAGAGGGGCCAGAAGGCUGUCUUAUUCUCAAUACACAUUUUAUUACCCAACCCACUCCUGACAUUAGAAAAAUCUCCAAAAAUUAGAUUCUGGCCUUCAACCCCCCAACAGUACUUAAUUGACCUCACCUUCAAGGGGUACAGUAAUACAGAAGAGUUGUAAUUACUUGCCUCCGCUGUGAGAGAAACCCCAGCUACAUCUCCAGCACACAAGAACUUCAAAACGCCUAAACCUCAGGGGUCAGGCAUUCCUCCAGGACCGCCUCCCCAGGAUCUUGCUUCUAGUGCUGGAAAUCUGGCCACUGGGCCAAGGAAUGCCUGCAGCCUGGGAUUCCUCCUAAGCCGUGUCCCAUCUGUGCAGGACCCCACUGGAAAUCAGACUGUCCAACUCACCCAGCAGCCACUCCCAGAGCCCCUGGAACUCUGGCCCAAGGCUCUCUGACUGACUCCUUCCCAGAUCGUCUCAGCUUAGCGGCUGAAGACUGACACUGCCCGAUCGCCUCGGAAGCCUACAGGACCAUCACAGAUGCUCUGGAUAACUCUUACAGUGGAGGGUUAAGACCCAAACUGGUUCAAUUGGCAUCUGACGCCCUUUGCAAAUGGCUCUACUCUCCUUCAUCAAUCCAUCACCCAAAGACAGCCUGAUCUAAAAGGAUAGAUUCUUCACACAUGCCAUCCGCACUCCUGCCUUCAUAUGAAGUUACUCCUACUUUUUGGCCACCUCUCCUUCGAAGCCCAGCCUCAACUCCCACCUCCUCCUUCAUGAAGCCCUCCCCAGCCACAUAAGUUCUCAGUAGUCAUUUCUCUGAAUUUUGAGUGUCUUCCUGUCUAUAUAAUGUGUCUGGCACUUUAAGAAACAUUAGACUGUUUUGGAAAAUGCCUUGGGCUUUGGAAUAAAAUAGAGCUGGUGAUGUUACUGACUCCAUCCAUCACCUCUUAUGAAAC